GUGAGGAAUAUUGGUCAAUGGGCGGGAGCCUGAACCAGCCAAGUCGCGUGAAGGAAGAAGGAUCUAUGGUUCGUAAACUUCUUUUGCAGGGGAAUAAAGUGCAGGACGUGUCCUGUUUUUUAUGUACCCUGAGAAUAAGGAUCGGCUAACUCCGUGCCAGCAGCCGCGGUAAUACGGAGGAUCCGAGCGUUAUCCGGAUUUAUUGGGUUUAACGGGUGCGUAGGUGGUUUGAUAAGUCAGCGGUGAAAGUUUGCAGCUUAACUGUAAAAAUGCCGUUGAAACUGUCGGACUUGAGUGUAAAUGAGGUAGGCGGAAUGCGUGGUGUAGCGGUGAAAUGCAUAGAUAUCACGCAGAACUCCGAUUGCGAAGGCAGCUUACUAAGCUACAACUGACACUGAAGCACGAAAGCGUGGGGAUCAAACAGGAUUAGAUACCCUGGUAGUCC
rnacentral:rRNA from 1 species